rnacentral:lncRNA from 1 species
CUACGAUCUUCAAUGUGCUGGGGAUUAAACGUGAAAUGGCAACUGCACAAAAUAACAUAAUUUCUUGAAAUGUUUCCUCUACUAUUAUUUAACUUCGCUGGUAUUGAUAACCGAACAUUUGGAUUGAAUUGUGAUUUCUUUCGAUGCAGCAGGUUUGUCUUAAUCGAGCCUUCUGCGAAUACGUCUGCAUUGGUUUUUGUAUUCUUGAAUUUAUUAAUUCAUUUUAUCUUUUCUUAAAUUCUUGGUCUUUACGUGCAAGACAAGCAAUGGAUGUGGAAACUUUAGAAGGAGAUCCUAUGAAGCUUUAGGUUUUAUUACCCUUACAUCUUCUGAUGCGUUUAUAUUUACAUUGACGGAUAUCCAUUUGAAUUUGAAUACAGUUCUUCAUUUGAUUACGUCUAGGUGUUGAACUGUUUAUGUGUAGGUGUUGAACUGUUUAUGUUCAUUCCUUUCUUGCUUGUCGAGAAUCUAAGAUUGGUGGAGGAUUAAAAUCCCGCAGUGUUUACAUCGACCAACGAUUCAGGAUUACCUGAGUUCUUUUGAGUUUUCUUCUAUUUUUGACUUUCGGGAUUUUAUAACCUAAUAUGAUCACUCCUAAUUGUUUUCUUGAAUUGUUCGGCCUUACUGGGAACACAAUCGUGACUGACUUGUGAGCUAGGAUGUGGAAACUUUAGCCAGGGAAUCUGUGAAGCUUUAGGUUUUGCUUUCUUUUCUAUUAUCAUUUAUUGUUUAUGAAUAUCAGACUCUAACAAUAAAAAGUCACCUUAAUUGUCAGAUUUGCUCUUCUUUCUCUUUGAAAUGUCCUCUUGUAUGAGACUUCAUUUGCUGGAUGAGCAUUUAUAAAUUUAAAUGCUUGAUUUUUGCUCAAUCUUAAUCCCUUGCUGAUUUUAAACAGAACUGCUUUCAGAAUAAGAAUUGUUUGAGCGCUAUCAUCUACAUUGAAACGACAACUGCUCAAGAUAACUUUAAUUUCUUCUACUAUUUAACUUCGCUGGACUUGAUCAACGAACAUUAGGAUUGAAUUGUGAUUUGUUUCUCUGCAGAAGUGUUUAUAUUAGAUUCGUGCAGUGUACCUGCAUCUUAUAUAGUCUCUCGGAUCCUGUGGAGCUUUAGGUUUUGUUACCCACACAUUUCCUAAUGUGUUUUAUUUCUGGCAUUUGAUCACCUGACAUAAGGAUUUAACUGCCAUUUGUUUCUUCAGAGGUGUUUCGGUAUCUUUCGUUUCUACAUUUCGUUGGUCUAGCAUCAGUAUAUUUCUCCAGUAGUUCUGCUUGGCCUAGCAUCAAUAUUUCACCAAUAGUUCUGCUUGAUUUGGGUCGCUCUCAUUGAACUGAAGUCCAUCAAAUAUAAAAUGUUAGACAUUGAGUUCAAAUUAAGAUUAGCAUAUCAUGGAGCAUGUUAUGAGCGAUCUUGUCUGCCUUGUUUUUUUAAUUCUUAAAUUUAUAUAAUUUGUUCUAAACUUAGUCCUCUAUUACCAGUUAUAGUUUUCUUGAAUUCUUGUUCUUUGUAGAGAUGUGUGGGAUAGGAUGUGCAAAACAGUGGCAGGAGAUUCCUUUAACAAUGAAACAUUAGUAGUUCUUUUUACUCUUACAUUACUUUUUUUUUCUGUUGCAUUAAUUCUUGAUUGGAUGAACUUCUCGGUUUUAUUUUUAUUUUUUUCUUCUUAGGCAUAACCAAAUUUAUAAUGGAAGACCAAAGAAUAUCCAAUUUUAGCAGAUGAUCAUGACCACUGGAUGACAUUUGUUCUUGUAUCAGUUUGCUCUAUGGUGAUCUUUAGGGUAUCAAUAAAUUGAAAAGGGUAACAAGUAUAGGUAAAUUUAAGAUUGUUUUUAUUACGCAUUUUGUUGGUUUCUUUAAGGUUUUUGUGAACCUUUUUUUCUUGCAGUGUUCGUUCGACUAGUUUUGGGUCUGUACUCUAUUUUAGAAUGGAUUUUGGUGAUCUUUAGGGUAUGAAUACUUGUUAACGGUAACAAGUAUAGGUAAAUAUAAGAUUUUUUUUAUUAUGCAUUUGUUGGUUUCUUCUUGACAAUUUUGUGAACCAUUUUUUCUUGCAGUGUUCGUUCGACUAGUUUUGGGUCGGUAUUCUAUUUUAGAAUGGAUUUUGGUGAUCUUUAGGUAUGAAUAAAUUGAAAAGGGUAACAAAUGUAGGUAAAUUAACGAUUUUUUUUUAUUACGCAUAUUGUUGGUUUCUUGACGAUUUUGUGAACCUUUUUUUCUUGCAGUGUUCGGUCGACUAGUUUUGGGUCAGUAUUCUAUUUUAGACUGGAUUUUGUAUGCUCAAAUUUGCUUUCUGUUUCCACUUUUCCUCGGUCUAGUAUGUUCUUCCCUCCCCUUCAGUGAGUGUGUGGUUGGUUGUUGAUGCAGUAGGUGUCUUCUUACAUGAUUUGGUGAUCUCCACUAUUUAUCCUGAAUCUUGGAUUUUAAUUUGUACUACACACUGACCUCUAUCUUAUUGCUGGUUAUAUUUCUCAAUUUUAAUCCCUUGAUGAUUUGUUCAGUCUCAAAAAAAGCUCUAUAUUAGGUAAAUUUUAUGCCCGGUUCUAUUGUGUGAUCAUUCUGAACUUUUUCUUCUGUGAGUUUUGUUUUUUCCUUAUAUCCGUAUCAGGAAUGGUUCCAAUCUUCUGUGGAGUGGAGUAGUUUGAGCAACAAUAUUAGUUUGCAAUUGGAGGAUUACUCUCGGUACUUUUUAAUAUGAUCUAUACUAGUAUUUCCAAUUUAAUUGGAUAUCUUUUUUCUUAACAGUGCUUUUGGAAUAUAUGUUUGAGUACUACGAUCUACAUGAAGCUGGGUAUUAACAAUCAUUUCUGGAAUAUAUAGCAUAAUUUCUUCUAACUACUAUCAGUUGCCUGCUCAAGAUAAACUAAUUUCCUCUACUAUUAUUUAACUUCGCUGGAGUUGGUAACCGAACAUUUGGAUUGAAUUGUGUUUUCUUUCGCUGCAGCAGUUUUGUAUUAAUUUUGUGUACUGGGUGUGGAAAUUUUAGAAGACAAGUUCCGAGAGUUAUUGGCGUGGAAACUUUAGCAGGAGACCCUCUGAGCUCUAGGUUUUGUUACCAUUACAUUUUCUGAUGCGUUUUUUUUUUGCAAGGAUAUCUAUUUUGAAUUUGCGCGUCGAAAUAAGAUUGUUCGAGUAUUAAAAUCCUAAAUUUGUUUUUUUGGGAUUUGAUCACCUAACAUACAUGAUCACUGAAUUGUCAUUUGUUCCACCAUUUAUCUCAUCGAGCAUGCUGAAAGAUGACAUCUCCUUUUGAUGCUGUUUCCUUUUUGUUUUGAAGUUGUCUUAUUGUUUCUAUUCUUAGUCUUUUGAUUAGUGAAAUCUAUCAAAUCUAGCUGUUUGAUCUGUGAUUAUGUUCAUUCCUUUUCAGGUUAAAAAAUAAUUCUAAUGUUGAGGGGUAAUAUAAUUUUUUGGAUGAGUUUCCUUUCUGUCAUUUAAUAUCUUUGGACUGGAUCAUCAAAUAUAAGGAUUCAAUUGUGAUUUGUUUUCCGCAGCAAUGUUUGGUGGAUUUGUUUCGUGUAACAUUCCUCUCAUCGAGGAAAUCUUACAAGUGAAGACAUCUCCCUCUGAUUUUUCUACUUUGUAGUUUUCUUCAAUUUUUGGGCCUUACGGGGAAGACAACCAACUGAUAUGUGAGCUAGGAUGUGGAAGCCAGGGGAUCUGUGAUGCUUUAGGUUUUGUUACCCUUGCUUUUCUUAUGUCUUAAUCUUUGACUAGUUAAACUUAUGAUGCUUUAAUUUAAAGUCUUGUGUGAUUUAAUUUUGUAAAAGGGAAAGAGAAGAUAUGAGGGAAACAAAAUAUCAUGGCCAUUACAGUUUUGUCUCGAAGCUAUUUUUAAUUUAGACCUGCCGUUUCUCGAAGCUAUUUUUCUCAUCGCAAAAUUUAAUCCUCUUACUUUGCUUUCUUUUGUAUUUUCAUUUAUUGUUUAUGAAUAUCAGACUAUAACAAUAGUAAGUCACCUUAAUUGUCAGAUUUGCCUCUCUGAAUUGCUCAAUCGUAAUCCCUUGCUGUUUUUAAACAGCACUGUUUUGGAAUAGGAUUUGUUUGAGCGUGUUAUCAUCUACAUGAAGCUGGAACGUGAAACGGCAACUGCUCAAGAUAACCUUCUACGAGUUCGCCGGACUUGAUCAUCUAACAUUAGGAUUGUAUUCCUCUCUAUUAUUAUGUUUCUCUGCACUCGAUCACCGAACAUAAAGUUAUAAAUAAUUUGCGCCUAUUAACAUUUAUUUGUUUUUAUUUCUUUUACCCUUUUGGGAUCUUUUUUUUUGUACUACAGUGAUCCUCCUUUAAAUUGACAUAAAAUGGUGGUUGAAUAUAGAAAGAAAAACUCUUGCUAUGGAUAGGUCUGCAUCUUUGGAAGGUUAAAUUUCUUAUGCCGUAUUCCAAAUUCUAUUAAAAUUUCUCUCAAUG